AUAAUUCAAUUAUGCUUGCGUUCCUAGUUGUGAUCUGUUCUGGAUGAGAAACAUUUACUUAACUGUAAUAUAUUUAACUGCAUCAGGAGUUGCCAGAGAAGUGGAAUAACAUGAAGAAGUUGGCCUGGACAGUGAAACAUGAGGUUGCUCCUCUUCAUACUGCAGAGGUGGCCAUGAUCCGCAGGAAGUGUGUGGCCUUUGAGAAAAAGCUGAAUCUGUGCCGAGAGAGGUUUAAAAGAGAAGCUUCUCUUCAGUACAACACAGAGAAACCAUAUGCUCGCCUGGAUAAAAGAGAUGCUGGUUUUAGAGGAAGAGAAUGCAGAUCUCCAGGUGUCCUGUAAGCUAUUUGAAGUGAGCAGCCCCGAUACUAAGCAGCUCAUGUUCGGUCAGAGAGACAUUGCUGUUUUGAAACAGCUCUGGGAUCUGCUGCUGUGCGCUCAGUCGCAGUAUAGCAGAAUGGACAGGGAUGAAAUGGAAGGAGAUCAGUGUAGAACACAUGGAGACAGAGCUGAGGAGGUUUACAAAAGUAAGAAUGCUUGUAUCAGCACCAUUCCAGCAUCCCAAAAGUAAUCUUUUUCCUCAAAGCACAUUGUGGAAGAUGUCUAUCUUAUAUCUAACACUGACUUAAUGUCUGGUCAGGAAAUGCGGGUUCUUAAUAAAGAGGCCAGUGUCUGGGACA
ensembl:lncRNA